GUCACAGUCAGCAUAUGAUUGUCGUAUAUUGACUUUAAGUAUUCAAUAUCCCUUCAGUCAGCAAUAAUCAUGUUAUAAACCUUAUAAAAGCAUAAAAUACAUAUAAACAAGUUAACUAUUUAAUAUUCUUACAUUCCCCUCUUUGAGCAAUAAAACAAUUGCUCAUCUUAUCGAUAAAAUCUUACCAGGACAGAGAAACUUCCACAUGGUAUUUUCAGGGGUGCUAGUCACUCCCUGCGGGACUUUCAUUAAUUUCUUCACCUCGAUUCCCAUGUGGUAAUUCCUAAGGCCCAGUUUAAAGAUGGGUUGAUACUCUACAGUGGCAGAGAGGAGAAUUUCUAAUUGUUUCUGUUCUGCAUUAUGGAUUAAUUUCUGUACUCUCUUCCUCAAUGUACAAGUAAAGUGACAGUUAUAUAAAAUCAUACACAAUAAAAUCAGGACUAUAAUAACAAAAGGAUAGAAGAAUGAUUUCAUUAUCUGGAUCCAGUAGGGGACCAACCAGUGAAGCAUCGUACCAAUGAUGGGCUAAAUCAUUCUGAAUUUGUGAACUCACCUUAAGGAGUUCUCCUUUUAGGAUAUGUGUGGCUACCUGUGUAUGUUAUCUUUGGGAAAAAUAUAGUCCCCUGUGUAUGUGGGUGCCCACCAGGUUAAAUUCUUGGCAAAAAGAUCAUAAACUGGUACUGGUAAUGUGUUAAAUUGACAAGCUAAUUUAACAUCCUUUGAUGUUGUAUGAUAUAAUGUAAAAUAGCAUGAGCAUGAAAAAUGUGAAACAUUACCAGUUAACCAUCCAUUGCAUUUACUGGAUUGGGGUUUUAGAAGUAACCAUUCAUUAUCUGUGAGGUUACACAUUCCUCUAAUCUUCUCUAGUUUAGAAAUCGUUAGUGUGUCUUCUAAUGCCAAUCCUUGUUGUUGUAUCCAUAAAUACCUGAUGGCACAAGUACUCCAGUUACUUAGACCUGUAGUGAAUUUCAUAGUUGCAACAGUUAAAUUAUCUAAAUAAUUAUACAUUGAUUUAUCUAAAUCCAAUCCUGUAACCUGUGAUUUAACAACAGUUGGAGCCCAGUUUGCAGUAGCAUGGAAACCAGUCCCUAUAUGCAUACUGGCUGUAUUUAACUUAUUCUUGAGGGUCUCCAUAUCUAUAACUAUUUAGUAUACCCAUAGUGGUUCCAGCACCUCCUAACAGUGUGUCAUACCAUUCCCUUUUCUGCCUUUUGUUUGUUGUGUUACAUAAUGUUACAACAGGAGUAGUGAUUUUUAAUGACACAUGUACAGCUUGUAAGAAGGCAGUUGUAUUAAUAAAUGUGGACGGAAUAGGUGUGUGUGUGUGUGUCGUUGUUGACUUUUGGUUCUAUGGUAGAGGAUAAAGGACAGUAAUAAGGUGUAAAAAUAUAAGGUAGUGUAUAGUUCUCAAUUGUAGUGUCGUUCAUAAUGACUAACAUUUGUCCCCUUCUCCAAUUAAUGAUACCAGUUAUAUAAUCAUUAUUAAAAGUAAUAAGGCCUGUCUGUUUACAUUGAUAUGCAACCUUAACUGUGCACAUUUCUGCGUUAUAAGAUCUAACAAUUUUCUGUGAACCUUCAAACAAACAUAAUGCAUCGGUUUCAUUAGCUGUAGACACAUUUCAUAUGGGUAACUGGUACUUAUAAGGGUUACUAUUUGUCCAAUUCAUCCAAAUGCGUUCAGUAAAUGAAUGAUUGCAUAUUGCAUGCUGAUAGAAAGGUGGUGGAGAAAGGUUCUUGAGGGGGCGUGUGUGACGAAUGCUAGAUGAGGGCUAAGGCCUAAUUGGGCUGGGGGUAUUGAAGAAUUGUUCAUCAUGUCAGAGUCUUUUUCAGAAACAACAGGUUUCAAACUUGCCAUUGACUUGUACUCAUAAUGGCAUUCAAGGAACAAUAUCAGAGGGAGUAUAACAACUCCAGAAAGCAUAGCGCACAACAUAAUCUUGGUCUCAGGUACGUAUGAUCCUCUCAAUCUACGAUAUGGUGUAAAAGCCAUGAUGCUUCGCUGAGGAGAAAUUCUUCUGUUU